GCCCAAUGGAAGCAGAGCACGAAGCCGAUCGGCUCGCAGUCGGCGUGCAGCCGCCGCCGACUUUUUUUAAGUGAUCUGAGCCGCCGCUGAUGUAUGCGGCUCUCAUCGGCUCAAAUUUUUAGCCGACUGAGUCGGCUAAGCUGUUGAAAAAUAUAAAUUUAUACAGCAAAUUUGUUUAAAUAUGUUUUUUAAUCUUAUCGAUAAAUUAACAUAUUAUAAUUCUCAUUAUUGGACGAUAAUUUACAUUGCGCACUCGUCUUCGAGAGGUAAAAACGUGUAGGCUAUUUAUAUUAAUUAUACCCUACACCACAUAGUGGUAAGGGUAUUAUGUCUUUGUAGAUUUUUUUUUUUUAUCACAAAACCUUUGGCAACCUUUUGUAACGUACGAAUUUUGAUGGAGUGGCAACCAUAUUGUUAGCCAAAGAUUCGUUGUGUUUUUGCUUGUUCAAGGAAAAUAAUGCAAAAUGUGCCAAAGGAAUAUUAAAAAUUAUUUUUCCGCUGACCGAAAGGGUCAAACAGUUUUGACUAAAUCAGAAUCCGAUUCAGACGAAUCUGUUGAUUCUUCUAAUGUACAAAAUAACGUAGAGUUAGAAAUAAGAAAAUAUUUGGAAAUGAAAGUCGAAGCGGUUGAGCCUCUAGAUUGGUGGCGACAGAACAAACAAAUUUUUCCAAAUGUUGCUACUGUAGCAAAUAUGUGCUUUGGAAUUCCAGCCACAUCAGCAUCUUCAGAGCAAGCAUUUUCAUAUGCCGGGAAUUGUGUAAAUGCUAAGAGAAGCAACCUGCAUCCGGCAACAGUAAAGAAACAAUUGUUUGUUCACGAUAACAAGGCGGUCGUCGAACCAUUUUUAUCAAAUUAAAGUAUUUUUAUUAUAAUUUUUAAUGUGCUAUAAGCAACAAAUGUGCAUAUAAACUUAUAUUUUCAUUUUUACUUUAAAUUAAAUGAAUUGACAGUUAUUAAAACAACCGAAAUUAUUUGUUCACGUUAAAGUCGUCGGCUGUAGCCGACUUUUAGCCGCCGCCGGCCGUAUAUUGCUUUAGCCGCCGCCGCCGAGAAUUUCACAUCGGCUUCGCCCUCUGAAUGGAAGUCUAAGCAAAGUUUAUAAAGUUAUUUGUGAAAACAAAAGAAGGCAAUAACAACUGAAGUUCUAGGGUGCACACAAAAAAACAAGAAUCACAGGGAAAAUGUUACAAUUUCUGAAGAAAUCUUUGAUUAAUCUUUACCUCCAAUAUGAACUGGUUACCAAUAUUUACAUGUUCGAGCCAUGGGAGAAGAAAUUGAUAAAUGGCUUUGUCGCAAUCAUUCUAUCUUUGGUGAUAUUUUCUAGUUACUUCUAUUUGCCCUCGUACAUUGAAACUUUCCUACAGUUCAUAACGCCACAACAACAACAAUCGCAACAGGGCGGCAUAUCAGCGACGGGACCUACAGCAUCAUAUGCCGCUCCCAUACUGCAAGCAGAAAAAAUUAGUAUAAGUUAAGAGCGAAUGACACUUUGUGUUUGUUGUAAUCUCCAAAUGCAAUCGUGGCUCUCGAUGGCUCCGAAUGGUAUGCAGGGAAAUAAUGCAGCAGCAGCGGCCACUUCAAUUUCCACAAGUGACUUUAUUUUUAAUCAUCAAUAUUUUUAAGUUUCUAUAAGAAAGAGAUUGUUAUAUAAAUUGAAUCUUUAAAAGGCAAGGUUGUUAAACAAAUAUUUUGAAAAUAAUAGGUACUGUGUCCAAUAAGCUCAAAGCAUUGUUGAAUGCCAUUAAAAUUGAUAUUUAAGAUAAUAGCAAUUGUUUGAUUACUGUACAUUUUCGAUUGACAUUAUGUGUACGUAUUUAAUUGAUGUGUGUGCUAUUGAUAUAUUGUAAUUUAUUAAAAAAAAAUUAUUUGAGAAUUGUAAUUUUUACUUGAAAUUCUAGCAAAUAUAAAAGACUAUUAAGACAAAAUUUUAUGUGUCGAAAAUUAAGUUCUUAUUCAGGCAUAAGGAUAUACUUAAACAAUAUUUCCCACUUGGAUUUUCUAUGGAAUUGUGUCCCAAAACAGCCAAGUCUUUUAGAAAUUAUAUAUUUCACGUUCAAAAAGAUCCCAAUUUUGUGCAAAUUUUGGAAAUUCGUAAAUUUCCAUUGAAUUUAAAUGAAGCUUGUCGAUAUUUAAGAAAGGUAAGGCAAUUUGAUGAGCUCGACAGGAUUAAGUUAUUGCGCUGCCUCUGUGUUGGGGAAGGAGGCGUGAUAUUGGUAAGGACACUUACUAUAGACUAGUUAAGGAUGGCAAAUGGAGAGUAAAAUGGAAUUGAAAGACUCGAUUUACCAAGAUUAGGAAAGCAGCAAAAGCAAAUCAGACGUAUAUACAUGGCCGAUCCAUCGGAGUUUCUUUCCUCAAUCAUCAGAAAUGCCAGCAGAGAAUUUUCCAUCAAAGAUAAUCCACUGACAAUAGCUGAUCAUGAACGUCUUCUGACUGAUGACAGAAAUAAUGGAAGUGAAUGGCAUAUAAUUCUGAUUUUACAUAGUACUGUUUGAUCUCGGAGUGGCUUAUCAGUGAACCUGCUUUUUACAGUGGCAUAUGAAGAAGAGAUUUCAAUUUGAUUCAAAAAUUAAGUGGCAGAAACUGAGUGUGAACCGUUUUCCAGCCUUCCGUUCAUUGAUUUUUUCAAGAUGCACCGUUCAAUCAGCGACUAAAUAUAUUGCUCUAUGGGAGAAUGGUCCAAGGCAAGGGCAGGUCUUAUCGAAGUCGGUUGGUUUAAAGAACAGCAAUUUCAUAUUUCGGGUUCUUGGCGGAAGAUCUCUUACGGCACUAUGUAUAUGGUCUAACCCAACGGGCAAUAAAAUUACAUAAUA